CUUCCCUUUAUGUUAUCUUCUAAAAAAACUUAUCGAUACUCAUAAAUUAUUUGACAGAUCUCUUUUUGAGAGAUAGGUAGCACGCUACCCGUUUUAUUUAUUUUAUUUAGAAAUAAACUUAGCUGGAAAUAUGAAUCAAGUAGAAUUCGAACUUGGAUUUUGGGUACCAAUCACCAAGCCCUUUGCCACUUGCUCUAGAAACGGUCGGUAUUAUUUGACAGAUCCCAUUUUAGUCUUAUUAAUGUUAUCUCAAACUUGUUUUAUUAU
rnacentral:lncRNA from 1 species